GUAUCAAUAAGCGGAGGAAAAGAAACCAACAGGGAUUGCCUCAGUAACGGCGAGUGAGGCGGCAACAGCUCAAAUUUGAAAUCUGGCUCCUUCGGGGGUCCGAGUUGUAAUUUGUAGAGGAUGCUUUUGGGUUGCCACCGGUCUAAGUUCCUUGGAACAGGACGUCAUAGAGGGUGAGAAUCCCGUAUGUGACCGGACAGGCGCCCUCCGUAAAGCUCCUUCGACGAGUCGGGUUGUUUGGGAAUGCAGCCCUAAAUGGGAGGUAAAUUUCUUCUAAAGCUAAAUACCGGCCAGAGACCGAUAGCGCACAAGUA
rnacentral:rRNA from 1 species